rnacentral:rRNA from 1 species
UACAGAGGGUGCAAGCGUUAAUCGGAGUUACUGGGCGUAAGGGGCGCGUAGGCUGGUAUUUAAGUCGAUUGUGAAAUCCCUGGGCUUAACCUAGGAAUUGCAGUCGAUACUGAAUAUCUAGAGUAUGGUAGAGGAAAGUGGAAUUCUCGGUGUAGUGGUUAAAUACGUAGAUAUCGAGAAGAACACCAGUGGCGAAGGCGACUUUCUGGACCAAUACUGACGCUGAGGCGCGAAAGCGUGGGGAGCAAACAGG